GGACGGGGAGCGGGUGGGGUCAGACGGGAAGCGGGGACGGGGAGCGGGUGGGGUCAGACGGGAAGCGGCGACGGGAUGCUGGUGGGGGGACCCCCGCGCUCUCCGGGCGACCCUCUGCAGCCUCUACUCUGCCCCGUCUGUCAUCUUCUCCCGACCCGGCGACCCCGUUCUCCCCCUCGCCCCUCAUUCCCCGGGACUGUCCUUCUUAACAGCGCCCUUCACCCCGCCCGGCCCGCGAGGUAGUCCUCAGCAGGGGACAAGGUCCGGACGUGGCGCCCCCAGAAGGAGCGCGGAGAGCCCCUGGGACCCAGUCCCGCCAGGUGAACAGCUGGAUGAUGUGAUGGAGGCACGCAGGGUGGAGGGGUUACCACAGUCUAGGUACUCUACACAUCCAGAGCCUCCCACAGUUGACAAAUGGAUUUUCCUAAUCAGUUUCGUCGUGUUUUGUACUUAAGUUGAGGAUUCCACACCGUGUGGUACUUUCAGAAGAGAUGUAGUGGUGAAUCAAUCGCAACGGUAAGGGGAGCAGACCUGGACAUCUGAUACUUGAUCAGCAAUUCACCUUGCCUGAAAAUGUUUUGACUUUGUUUCAUGUUCCAAGUGCCGAAAUGAUCGCACGCCUCGUUAGAAGUUGAACGUUACUCUUUUCUUCAAAUGCAGGUUGUGAUGUUUUCCUAAUUAGGUAUUGAGAAUUACCAUUGGUAUUUGGAAUUAGAUUGCGGAGCAUUUAGGAACCGUUCUCGCUAUGUUGCCCAGGCUGGUCUUGAACUCCUCAGCUGAAAUGAGCCUCCCACCUCGGCCUCCCAAAGUGCUGGGAUUACAGGCGUCCCCUCUGCCCCAGUACUGUUUCCUCUCCCCAGCCCAGCCCCCACAGCUGCCUGCCCUGGCCUCACUCCCUGGCCUCCCCCAUCCCAGCCUCUGGGUCCCUGAGUCAGUCCCUGGGGCUGUCUGCCUUCUAGGGGAGCCUCUGGUGUGGACCAGAAAGUAACCUAAUCCCUUCCAGGCCCACCCUGGAAACAAAGGGAUUUGUCCACUAGCCUGGUGGUGAGAACCAUGUGGCCUCCUGUCUCUGGCAGAGAGGACUCCAGGAUCAAGGGCAGGUAAAAGGAGGAGCCUCCUGGGGAGCUUCAGAAGGAGGGUCCCAAGUCCCUCCUGCCCCACUUCUGUGCCUGGGUCACUCACACCCCUGCCUGACUCUAGCCCCCCUUCUCCAGGGGUCUCCACAACAUGUGAAUCAUGCCCAGCGUCUUCCAUUACACCCUUGAUAAAGUCCUCUCCUCACCAGGACCUCUGUCAUUUUACCUCAUGGUUUUGAAAUAAUUUUUGGUCUUCUUAGCAGUUUAAAAAUAUUGUUUUGUUUUUUUUCCUGAGUUUGGAGCAUUCCUGUUACUAAUUACAUUUUUUUUUUAGACAGGUGUACACUACUACACCCAGCUAAUUUGUUUUGUUUUGUUUUGUUUUGGUAGAGAUAGGAUCUUGCUAUGGUACCCAGGCUGGUCUUCAACUCCUGGGCUCAAGCAAUCCUCCUGCAUUGGCCUCCCAAAGUGCUGGAAUUACAGGCAUGAGGCAGCACGCCCAGCCCUAAUUACUUCUAUUACGCCAAAUUCCUUGUGUGGAAUUCCUGUGCUUUGCACACAAAUUGCCAGGUUGGCCCCAAAGGGGAAAAAAGUGGAUCCCAUUUUCCCAUCUUCUAUGCCUACGUGGCUGACAAAUCUCCCGAAUCCCACAGGAGCUGUCGCUGAUCUUUGUCCUCUAUUCGCUGAAAUAAAGUUCACCAUGGAUUUCUGCUUCUUUUA
rnacentral:lncRNA from 1 species